UUCGGGAGGGCGUUUACCACGGUGUGAUUCAUGACUGGGGUGAAGUCGUAACAAGGUAACCCUAGGGGAACCUGGGGUUGGAUCACCUCCUUACCUUAA
rnacentral:rRNA from 2 species